UGGAAAAGCAUCAGAUAAUCCAAAAGUUAUAUUAAUAUUAAAAUCACCAAAAAAAUAGAAAUGCUAUUUCUGAGCACAAGCAACUUCAUGAACCCUGUCCUGGUCUCAAUAACUCUGACCACUAGAAGCAGACAUGGCCAAUUUCAGAGCUGGGAUAAGAAACCUUCAACAACUGGGAAAAACAAGUUAACUGAUAUCAAAAUACAACAGUAUAAAGACAAUUGAAUUCUGGUUAAAAAAGAAGAGCUACAAAAGAUAUUUUGAUUAAGCAAUGAAAAAUUCAAAUAUGGACUGGAUACCAAA
rnacentral:antisense_RNA from 1 species